rnacentral:lncRNA from 1 species
AUGCUUGUGAAGAACUGUCUGCAAGGCUGGACCCAAAAAUAUAUUGAAGGUCCAGAGCUGGCAGCAGAGAAAUACCUCCGAAGGCAGCAAAGAUUGUGGUUACCAGGCAUCCUACACUUGACAGAAAAGCUUCCCCAACUCUUGCAGCAUCCUCACUUCCCACUCCCUGCUGGGUUGCAUCAGGACAUCUUAACCCCUAUCUCUAACCAACUCAAAAGAAUAAUUUCCUCAGUAAAAACCCAUCUCAGACUCAGUACCAUUGGGGACACAGUUCUGCAAUGCUGACCCUUACACUGGUCUUUCAAGUCCUUCCUCAAUUACCUUCCUCUCACUAUCUCAAUCUAACAUAAAAACCUACAAUUUGAUAGUGAUUGAGCUUGAAGUUUCAAAACCACAUACAAGCGUAAGGAGUCAACAAUUGUUCUGAAAAUUCACAGGCACUUCCCUCUGUCCUCCCUACCCCCAAAGAAUGUUUCAUCCCUACAGAAACCCUGAUCUCUGAUUCAUUGGACCAAAAAACAAUUGCUCGGGGUCAUUCAGAUCUUCAAAAACAAACAUUUCAUCUUUCAUUGUGAAUUAAAAAGUUGCGAUGCACUGAAUCUUUCUUGACCAUGAAAAUCAACUUAUAACAUGAACCAAAUGCUAAUUUUCAACUACAUUCACAUAAAUCUUCACUGAGUUCAAUGAAAAUAUGCUGAUUUGCAUAUUUUGAUUCUGCAAAACUAAAAGCAGAAUUUGACUCCGUGCUGACUGUGUCAUCAAAAUACAACAAGGUAAUUUGUGGAAUCUGUUCCCGUUAGUGCAAUCAAAAACUUAAAAUUAUUAAAUCCAACAUUUAAACUGAAAAUAAGACAUUUCUGUUCUUUACCAGAUUUUAAUACUUCAGCCUUGUGUAAAUGCAGGUUGGAAAUGUUAAUGGAUCCUAAGAGAGUGAGGUGAUGAACUCCCAUUCAAGGGGAGUUGGAGGCCUAUUAUCUUGGGCUUCUUUAUCACCCCAAAUCCUAACUCUCAUUUAAAUUAAGGUGUCUGUGUCCAUAAGACUUCUGCACCUCACUGCGGAUUCAGUUCUCAGCUGAGGGCAGGUGCUGGUAUGAAGAUCUUCAUGGACAAACCAAUUUAAACUCUAACCAGAUUUUCAUAGCUGUCCAAUCAGUGAAAGCUGCUGAAGACAGACAAUGAAGUAUCAUAUUUCUUGCUUGUCCUGGCAAUGUCCCUUCCACAGUAACACUCGUGGAUUUGCUACUCCAGGAGUAGAAGCAAAGAAUGAUUUGCAGUUCUGUACCCCAUGUUUCCAGGCUAGCCAAACUUUCUGCUGCCAGGAGACCUAUCUCAGUCCCCUGGCAAAAUCUGGGUGGUGAUGAGUCUGAUUCUACAUAUUUCCUAAAUGAUAGGGCUAGAAAACUAUCUUUGCCACAUUGCCUUCAGCACCACCAACUAUGCCAGAUUUGUGCAAUCUUUUGUUCACAUCUCCAAUAAAUAUUCCCCCUCUUUCUUAGGUACUGCCCUC